rnacentral:rRNA from 1 species
GACGAACGCUGGCGGCGUGCCUAAUACAUGCAAGUAGAACGCACAGUUUAUACCGUAGCUUGCUACACCAUGGACUGUGAGUUGCGAACGGGUGAGUAACGCGUAGGUAACCUGCCUGGUAGCGGGGGAUAACUAUUGGAAACGAUAGCUAAUACCGCAUAAUAUUAAUUAUUGCAUGAUAAUUAAUUGAACGGUGCAAUUGCACCACUACCAGAUGGACCUGCGUUGUAUUAGCUAGUAGGUGAGGUAACGGCUCACCUAGGCGACGAUACAUAGCCGACCUGAGAGGGUGAUCGGCCACACUGGGACUGGGACACGGCCCAGACUCCUACGGGAGGCAGCAGUAGGGGAUCUUAGGCAAUGGACGAAAGUCUGACCGAGCAACGCCGCGUGAGUGAAGAAGGUUUUCGGAUCGUAAAGCUCUGUUGUAAGAGAAGAGCGGGUGUGAGAGUGGAAAGUUCACACUGUGACGGUAUCUUACCAGAAAGGGACGGCUAACUACGUG